rnacentral:lncRNA from 1 species
AUCAAUCAAAGUUUGGCUAAUAUGAUGGAAAAUUCAAAGGAGCAACAUCAGCAUGUACCUAUCCAAUAAUUAACAAAACUCUACUAAUGGAGGCCAGGACGUUGUUCCCAGGCCGCCUACAAAAAUAACUGACAGUUGAAACCAUGGUGGAAAAACAAUUAGAGCCAGCAACUGACAAUUGGAAAAAAAGAAAACAGAAGAAGAAGAAGAAAGAAGUAUUGAAGAAAUUUUAAGAAUAUUUUGGUAAUUGAGAAUAAUGGGGAGAUGGAAUAGUUUUAGGAGCAAUUACUGGUAGCGGUACGGAGAGGCCAAGCAAUGUACAUAACAAGGAGCUAUGGAAAGUAAGGAAGUUAUUUGGAAGUAAACUCAUCCAAUUAAUCAAACAAUUAAUGAGAUCAACAACUACCAAUUACCAAAAUCAAUUUUAUAAAUUUAGAUAUAUUUAGUUAAAGCUCGGGAAUGAAUAUGAAAACAAAAAUAGCAAUAGAAUUAAUUAAAUUUUAUAUAUUAUUUAAUUCAGUGUAAAUUAAAAACAGAAUACAUUUAUUAUUGACAAUAAUAAUAAUAUUUAAUUUAUUAUUAUUAUAUGCUUCAAACAUAUAAAAUAAUAUUUAUAUAAAUGAUAUUAUUUCACUUAAUAUUACUAUUUAUACAAAAAUAAAAAGAAAUGGAUAAUAUCUAUGAUGAAAUAAUAUCAUUCGGAUUCUAAAAUGAUUUUUGAUAGACCAAACACCAAUAAUUUAUUUUCACC